ACUGACACUGAGGGACGAAAGCGUGGGGAUCAAACAGGAUUAGAUACCCUGGUAGUCCACGCUGUAAACGAUGAGUACUAGCUGUUGGAGUCGGUGUAAAGGCUCUAGUGGCGCAGCUAACGCGAUAAGUACUCCGCCUGGGGACUACGGCCGCAAGGCUAAAACUCAAAGGAAUUGACGGGGACCCGCACAAGCGGUGGAGCAUGUAGUUUAACUCGAUGCAACGCGAAGAACCUUACCUGGUCUUGACAUCCUGCGAUCUUUCUAGAGAUAGAUUGGUGCCUUCGGGAACGCAGUGACAGGUGCUGCACGGCUGUCGUCAGCUCGUGUUGUGAA
rnacentral:rRNA from 1 species